rnacentral:rRNA from 1 species
UGAAUACGAAAUGCUACGGCAUUGAAGUGAUCUAUGCCAUGCUUCCAAGAAAAUCUCGUCAUAUCUUAAAUAAUGAAUGCCUGUACCUUAAACCGACACAGGUAGGUAGGUAGAGUAUACCAAGGGGCGCGAGAUAACUCUCUCUAAGGAACUCGGCAAAAUAACCUCGUAACUUCGGAAGAAGAGGUACCCUUGAAAAAGGGUUGCAAUAACCAGACCCUGGCGACUGUUUACCAAAAACACAGGUCUCCGCUAAUUCGUAAGAUCAAGUAUGGAGGCUGACGCCUGCCAGUGCCGGAAGGUUAAAGAAGUUGGUCAAUCCUUGGAUGAAGCUGGCGACUGAAGCCCCGGUGAACGGCGGCCGUAACAAUAACGGUCCUAGGGUAGCGAAGUUCCUUGUCGGGUAAGUUCCGACCCGCACGAAAGGCGUAACGGUCAGGGUGCUGUCUCGGAGAGAGACUCGGCGAAAUAGACAUGUCUGUGAAGAUGCGGACUACCUGCACCUGGACAGAAAGACCCUAUCAAGCUUUACUGUAUCUUGGAAUUGGGUUUGGGCCUUGUUUGCGCAGGAUAGGUGGGAGGCUAUGAAAAUAUUCUUGUGGGAAUGUUGGAGCCAACGGUGAGAUACCACUCUAGCAAGGCUAAAAUUCUAACUCUGAACCGUUAUCCGGUCAGAGAACAGUUUCAGGUGGGCAGUUUGACUGGGGCGGUCGCCUCCUAAAAGGUAACGGAGGCGCGCAAAGGUUCCCUCAUGCUGGUUGGACAUCAGUCGUAGAGUGUAAAGGCAUAAGGGAGCUUGACUGCGAGACCCACAAGUCGAGCAGAGACGAAAGUCGGCCUUAGUGAUCCGACGGUUCCACGUGGAAGGGCCGUCGCUCAACGGAUAAAAGUUACUCUAAGGAUAACAGGCUGAUCUCCCCCAAGAGUUCACAUCGACGGGGAGGUUUGGCACCUCGAUGUCGGCUCAUCGCAUCCUGGGGCGGUAGUACGUCCCAAGGGUUGGGCUGUUCGCCCAUGAAAGCGGUACGCGAGCUGGGUUCAGAACGUCGUGAGACAGUUCGGUCCAUAUCCGGUGCAGGCGUUAGAGCAUUGAAAGGAGUCCCCCUUAGUACGAGAGGACCGGGGGGAAUACACCGCUGGUGUACCAGUUAUCGUGCCAACGGUAAACGCUGGGUAGCCAUGUGUAGCGUGGAUAACUGCUGAAAGCAUCUAAGUAGGAAGCCCACCUUAAGAUGAGUGCUCUCACCGCUAUAAGCGGGUAAGGUCACGGUAAGAACAACCGUUAUAUAGGCAUUAAGUAUACAUGCAGUAAUGCAUUUAACUGAGAUGUACUAACAGGCCGAGGGC